GGGCGUGUGGCUCAGUUGGUAGAGCGUUCGCUUAGCAUCUUAUCAAGUAAUUAAUUCUGUUUCUGAAUGGAUACAUAACUUGAACGAAGCAAAAUGCGAAAGGUCCUGAGUUCGAUUCUUAGCUCGUCCA